rnacentral:lncRNA from 1 species
AGAGAGGAUUCCCUUCAUCUGAGAAAGCCAGUUUUCAUCCAAAGGAUCCACCUCACACAAGUCCAGGGUGGUUGUCUACGAGGAUCAUUUAAGGCCAGAAGUUCGAGACCAGCCUGGGCAAUAGAACAAGACCUCAUCUCCACAAACAAUAAAAAAUUAGCCAGGUGUGGUGGCACACACCUGUAGUCCUAGCUACUUGGGAGGCUAGGGUGUGAGGAACACUUGAGCCCAGGAGUUCAUCAUUACAGUGAACUAUAAUCAUGCCACUGCACUUCAGUCUGAGAAAUAGAGUGAGAAUCAU